rnacentral:antisense_RNA from 1 species
CUUGAGGGAGCCGAGCCACAGCGGCUGCUCGGCGCGGUCCUGGCCGUAGGUGGCCAGCAGGGCCUGCGCCUC